rnacentral:rRNA from 2 species
GGAUGCGAUCAUACCAGCACUAAAGCACCGGAUCCCAUCAGAACUCCGAAGUUAAGCGUGCUUGGGCGAGAGUAUUACUAGGAUGGGUGACCUCCUGGGAAGUCCUCGUGUUGCAUUCC